AUUAAACGCUGGCGGCAUGCCUUACACAUGCAAGUCGAACGGCAGCACGGGAGCUUGCUCCUGGUGGCGAGUGGCGAACGGGUGAGUAAUACAUCGGAACGUACCCUGAAGUGGGGGAUAACGUAGCGAAAGUUACGCUAAUACCGCAUAUUCUGUGAGCAGGAAGAGGGGGAUCGCAAGACCUCUUGCUUUAGGAGCGGCCGAUGUCGGAUUAGCUAGUUGGUGAGGUAAAGGCUCACCAAGGCGACGAUCCGUAGCGGGUCUGAGAGGAUGAUCCGCCACACCUGGGACUGUAGACACGGCCCCAGGACUCCUACGGGAGGCAGCAGU
rnacentral:rRNA from 1 species